rnacentral:tRNA from 1 species
UGGGGUGAUAGCUCAGUGGUAGAGCACUUGCCUAGCAUGCACAAGGCCCUGGGUUCUAUCCCCAGCACUGCAA